UGGGGAAUAUUGCACAAUGGGCGCAAGCCUGAUGCAGCCAUGCCGCGUGUAUGAAGAAGGCCUUCGGGUUGUAAAGUACUUUCAGCGGGGAGGAAGGGAGUAAAGUUAAUACCUUUGCUCAUUGACGUUACCCGCAGAAGAAGCACCGGCUAACUCCGUGCCAGCAGCCGCGGUAAUACGGAGGGUGCAAGCGUUAAUCGGAAUUACUGGGCGUAAAGCGCACGCAGGCGGUUUGUUAAGUCAGAUGUGAAAUCCCCGGGCUCAACCUGGGAAUUGCAUCUGAUAAUGGCAAGCUUGAGUCUCGUAGAGGGGGGCAGAAUUCCAGGUGUAACGGAGAAAUGCGUAUAGAUAUGGGUGAAUACCGGUGGCGAAGGCGACCCACAUCACGUAGACUGACGCUCAGGUGCGAAAGCGUGGGGAGCAAGCUGG
rnacentral:rRNA from 1 species